GCCAAGUAGUGUCAAGCUGGUUUAAAGUUGAUGUUCCCCAUUGUAUGGGAGCCCUAAGGUCACAGCCUGAACCAGUGAUUGAGCACCUGGUGAAGGGACAUAGCCAGCCCUGGGAGCACAGGUGCAAGCAAUUCCUGUGUAACCCUGACUACAUUUAAGGGCUGGCAGCGGAAGGGGAAGCAUCUCUACUUGGAGAUUGCCUCCUUUGGGAGUUUACUAGUGAGCCUGGUAUCUCCGGAAAGGGGUAAGCUAUUCUUUCUUAAUUACUGAAUUGUAACUAAUACUUUUCUUAGGUGAUCUGAAAACUGGUCAGUGGCAGCAAUAUCUUAUGCAAUACAUCCAUGCCCUGAAUUUGCUUCUUUUGAAAUAGGACAAGUUUCUACAACCUAAAUAACAUAAUGGUCAAAGUACUCCUUGGCUCCUCUAAGGUUUCUCCCUCUACCUGAGCCUCUUAGUGUGUGAGUGCUGUUCCUCACACAGCAAAACAAUCCUCUCUGCUAAAUCUGCUCUGUUCUUCAUUUAGACAUCCUGAUUAUGGAGUAAAGUGCUGCUGCACCUGGGUCUGAACAAGCAAAACAGAUUGCUCUGGUGAGAGACAGCAGGAGGAAACCCAAGGCACAGAGGAGGAGAUGAGAAACUGAAAAUUGCUCCAGCGACCCAGGAAAAGAAGUCCUCCUGGCAUUCCAUGUGCCAGCCUGGGCUCCCUCCCUACUGUAUGGCUGCACUGCUCACAGAAAUAAUAAAGGCUAAAGGAGCAAGAGGAAAGAUUAUUUACAGGUGGAAAUUACAUCACUAUGAACAUACUUAUAUGAGACAUGAGAAACAAUUGGGGAAGUUGUCUGGAAUUAGCAUCCAAUACACUGAUGGAGCCCAACCGAUUUGGUUCAAAUCUGUGAAGUUUAAAGUGGUCUAUUUGAACAAAACUGACCAUUCGCAUAUGGAUCCACUAGCCAUCAUUCUACAGCAAGCAAACCACGACAGUCAUCUUUGUUAAGAUUUCCUGGCAUUCUAAUGUCAUCUCCAUGGUUAUUGCAGUCUGUUCCUGCAGAAACAAAACAAGUAUAAAACAAACCAGCCCCUCCAGAACUCAGAGUGAGAUGGAAAGACCUUGAGAGCUUUCAUCCCUCUCCAUUUGUACUUGCCACCUGGCCCUGGAAGCAGCUCAGCUCUCAUAAGCCUUCACUAGAGACUAGCCUUAUCUUUCCCACACAGUGAAGCCUUCCUGAUGUACAGCAAGGUUUCUGGGCUUUCCUGGAUAGGAAAACUGCAGUUGACCUGGUCAAGUUAGAAACGUUAUGUUCUUCCUCAAGAUUAUUGCUGAAUUUCCAUGAGUUCAAGGGGAUGAACGUGAAAGCACAAAAGAAGAGGUUUGCUAUCAUUACAUUCUAAUGUAGAUAUUUAGUUGUAUUUAGAGUUUAAGCUAGCACAAUCUCUUGCUCCAGAAAUGCACAUAUUUUUAAAGAUGUGGGAUGAUGGGAGUAACACUUCAAGGUGGUGAGAGAGAGAGAGAGAGAUUUCUUUCUCAUAAAUUGCCAGCUUAAAUAAAUAGUGAAUGUGCCAGACA
ensembl:lncRNA